rnacentral:rRNA from 1 species
GCGUAACACGUAUGCAACCUACCUAUCAUUGGGGGAUAGCCUUUGGAAACGGAGAUUAAUACCGCAUAAGACAGUAACAUGGCAUCAUGUAGCUGUUAAAGCUUUGGCGAUGAUAGAUGGGCAUGCGUCCAAUUAGUUAGUUGGUGAGGUAACGGCUCACCAAGACGAUGAUUGGUAGGGGAUCUGAGAGGAUAAUCCCCCACACUGGCACUGAGAUACGGGCCAGACUCCUACGGGAGGCAGCAGUAGGGAAUAUUGGGCAAUGGACGGAAGUCUGACCCAGCCAUGCCGCGUGCAGGAAGAAGGCGUUAUGCGUUGUAAACUGCUUUUUUAUAGGAAGAAGGAGACCUUGCGAGGUUUGGUGACGGUACUAUAAGAAUAAGCACCGGCUAACUCCGUGCCAGCAGCCGCGGUAAUACGGAGGGUGCGAGCGUUGUCCGGAUUUAUUGGGUUUAAAGGGUGCGUAGGCGGUUUAUUAAGUCAGUGGUGAAAGACGGUCGCUCAACGAUUGCAGUGCCAUUGAUACUGGUAGACUUGAGUUCGUAUGAGGUAGCUGGAAUGGAUAGUGUAGCGGUGAAAUGCAUAGAUAUUAUCCAGAACUCCAAUUGCGUAGGCAGGUUACUAAUACGAUACUGACGCUGAUGCACGAAAGUGUGGGGAUCAAACAGGAUUAGAUACCCUGGUAGUCCACACUGUAAACGAUGAUGACUAACUGUUUGCCCUUUGGGGUGAGUGGUACAGAGAAAUCGUUAAGUCAUCCACCUGGGGAGU